UGGGGAAUUUUGGACAAUGGGGGCAACCCUGAUCCAGCCAUGCCGCGUGAGUGAAGAAGGCCUUCGGGUUGUAAAGCUCUUUCGGACGGAAAGAAAUCGCCAUUUCUAAUACAAGUGGUGGAUGACGGUACCGUCAUAAGAAGCACCGGCUAACUACGUG
rnacentral:rRNA from 1 species